rnacentral:rRNA from 1 species
AACGAACGCUGGCGGCAUGCCUAACACAUGCAAGUCGAACGAGACCUUCGGGUCUAGUGGCGCACGGGUGCGUAACGCGUGGGAACCUGCCCUUAGGUUCGGAAUAACUCCCCGAAAGGGGUGCUAAUACCGGAUAAUGUCUUCGGACCAAAGAUUUAUCGCCUUUGGAUGGGCCCGCGUUGGAUUAGCUAGUUGGUAGGGUAAAAGCCUACCAAGGCGACGAUCCAUAGCUGGUCUGAGAGGAUGAUCAGCCACACUGGGACUGAGACACGGCCCAGACUCCUACGGGAGGCAGCAGUGGGGAAUAUUGGACAAUGGGCGAAAGCCUGAUCCAGCAAUGCCGCGUGAGUGAUGAAGGCCUUAGGGUGGUAAAGCUCUUUUACCCGGGAUGAUAAUGACAGUACCGGGAGAAUAAGCUCCGGCUAACUCCGUG